rnacentral:rRNA from 1 species
CGUAGGGUGCGAGCGUUAAUCGGAAUUACUGGGCGUAAAGCGUGCGCAGGCGGUUAUAUAAGACAGAUGUGAAAUCCCCGGGCUCAACCUGGGAACUGCAUUUGUGACUGUAUAGCUAGAGUACGGCAGAGGGGGAUGGAAUUCCGCGUGUAGCAGUGAAAUGCGUAGAUAUGCGGAGGAACACCGAUGGCGAAGGCAAUCCCCUGGGCCUGUACUGACGCUCAUGCACGAAAGCGUGGGGAGCAAACAGGAUUAGAUACCCUGGUAGUCCACGCCCUAAACGAUGUCAACUGGUUGUUGGGUCUUCACUGACUCAGUAACGAAGCUAACGCGUGAAGUUGACCGCCUGGGGAGUACGGCCGCAAGGUUG